rnacentral:misc_RNA from 1 species
AAGUCGUAACAAGGUCUCCGUAGGUGAACCUGCGGAGGGAUCAUUAACACUGAUUCAACUCUAUGAAUUGAGUAGUGUCAUAUAAUAUUUUAUUAUAUUAUAUUAUAUUAUACUAUUUCUUUUCUAUCCACUCGUGAACUUAACUUAUGCCCCCUUUCCCCUUAUAUUUACUCUUUAUUGGGUAGUAUAAGGCCAUUGUUUUGAAACCUUUUUUUCUAUCCAACCAGCUAACAGCUAUAUACAAAUGAAGUCAUAUAAUGAAUUUAAUUUGUUCUAUGAUGUAAUACAGUAUAAUUUAAGCACAACUCUUAGCAACGGAUAUCUCGGUUCUC